GAAAUGCGAUAAGUAGUGUGAAUUGCAGAAUUCAGUGAAUCAUCGAAUCUUUGAACGCACAUUGCGCCCUUUGGUAUUCCUUAGGGCAUGCCUGUUCGAGCGUCAUUUAAACCUUCAAGCCCUGCUUGGUGUUGGGUGCCUGUCCCGCCCCGCGCGUGGACUCACCUCAAAUCCAUUGGCGGCCCCCGCAUGGCCACGAGCGCAGCAGAAACGCAAACUCGUGUGCCGGACCGGGCGGCUCCCAGAAGCUACACUCACCAUUUUGACCUCGGAUCAGGUAGGGAUACCCGCUGAACUUAAGC
rnacentral:misc_RNA from 1 species